rnacentral:rRNA from 1 species
AGUGAACGCUGGCGGUAGGCCUAACACAUGCAAGUCGAACGGCAGCACAAUAAGAGCUUGCUCUUACGGGUGGCGAGUGGCGGACGGGUGAGGAAUACAUCGGAAUCUACUUUUUCGUGGGGGAUAACGUAGGGAAACUUACGCUAAUACCGCAUACGACCUACGGGUGAAAGCAGGGGAUCUUCGGACCUUGCGCGAUUGAAUGAGCCGAUGUCGGAUUAGCUAGUUGGCGGGGUAAAGGCCCACCAAGGCGACGAUCCGUAGCUGGUCUGAGAGGAUGAUCAGCCACACUGGAACUGAGACACGGUCCAGACUCCUACGGGAGGCAGCAGUGGGGAAUAUUGGACAAUGGGCGCAAGCCUGAUCCAGCCAUACCGCGUGGGUGAAGAAGGCCUUCGGGUUGUAAAGCCCUUUUGUUGGGAAAGAAAAGCAGCAGGUUAAUACCCCGCUGUUCUGACGGUACCCAAAGAAUAAGCACCGGCUAACUUCG